AUGAAUUUAGCUUAAUGGCAGAGCCUCUAUCUUACACAUAGUCUAGUGUGGGUUCAAAUCCUACAGUUCAUA
rnacentral:tRNA from 1 species